rnacentral:rRNA from 1 species
CUAACCUACGGGACGUAGCAGUAGGGAAUCUUCCACAAUGGGCGAAAGCCUGAUGGAGCAACGCCGCGUGGGUGAAGAAGGUCUUCGAAUCGUAAAACCCUGUUGUUAGAGAAGAAAGUGCGUGAGAGUAACUGUUCACGUUUCGACGGUAUCUAACCAGAAAGCCACGGCUAACUACGUGCCAGCAGCCGCGGUAAUACGUAGGUGGCAAGCGUUAUCCGGAUUUAUUGGGCGUAAAGGGAACGCAGGCGGUCUUUUAAGUCUGAUGUGAAAGCCUUAGGCUUAACCUGAGUA